rnacentral:rRNA from 1 species
UGGGGAAUAUUGCACAAUGGACGGAAGUUUGAUGCAGCGACGCCGCGUGGAGGGUGUAGGCCUUCGGGUUGUGAACUCCUUUUUCUCGCGAAAAAGGCACAGUUUUGGCUGUGUUGAUGGUAGUGGGGGAAGAAGCGCCGGCUAACUACGUUCCAGCAGCCGCGGUAAUACGUAGGGCGCGAGCGGUGUCCGGAUUUAUUGGGAGUAAAGAGCUCGUAGGUGGUUCGUCGCGUCGGUCGUGAAAGCCAGCAGCUUAACUGUUGGUCUGCGGUGGGUACCGGGGGGCUUGAGUGCGGUAGGGGGGGCUGGAAUUCCUGGUGUAGCGGUGGAAUGCGCAGAUAUCAGGAGGAACACCGAUGGCGAAGGCAGGUCACUGGGCCGUUACUGACACUGAGGAGCGAAAGCGUGGGGAGCGAACAGG